rnacentral:rRNA from 1 species
UUAAAAAGCUCGUAGUUGGAUUUCUGUUUUGAAUGUCCGGUCGGUCAGUUUCUGAUGUGUACUUUGGAUAUUUGAAGCAUUUUUUGUGAGGGUCCUUGACUGGCAUUAAGUUGUUGGUUUUGGAAGCUUGCAUCGUUUACUGUGAAAAAAUUAGAGUGUUUCAAGCAGGCGUUUGCUUUUGAAUACAUUAGCAUGGAAUAAUAAGAUACGACUAGCGUGGUCUAUUUUGUUGGUUUGCACACGCAAGUAAUGAUUAAUAGGGACAGUUGGGGGUAUUCAUAUUUGAGCGUCAGAGGUGAAAUUCUUGGAUCGCUGAAAGAUGAGCUUAGGCGAAAGCAUUUGUCAUGGAUGUUUUCAUUAAAUCAAGAAC